GCCAGAUAGCUCCUGUGGGAGAAACAGGCAAGCAGCACUUUUAGAUAUUUUGCAGGUUGCACACUAAACUAUUCUACAGCAUCUGAGAAUAGUCAGCCAAUCCUGUCAUGAAAACUGGCUGGACACUUGAACAAUUGGUCUUUGUAAAAGGAGACAAUUGGUUGAAUGGUGUGCCAAAGUGCGAGUCAAUUGGCUGAUCUGUUGCUACUUUUGUGAAACAAGCUGAAACCCACAUUAAAUUGAACAACAAACUUUAAAAAGACCUUCAUCAGACCCUGAAUGCUGUUUCUGAAAAUGAUUGAUAAACAGUUAUGAAACUGCUAUCACACCCCUGAAGUUGUAUUUCAUUCUGUCUACUGGAUGGUCUGUAUAAAUCA